GGUUUUUGCUUUACUCUUUCUUCCCCAUCCGUUUCUACUGUAAACCAGUCUCAAAGCUCUCUCUCUUUUUUUUUUCUUACUGUGGAGAAGCUGAAAUGUUUCGAUCAGUUUGGUGUAAAUUAGGUGGAACACUGAAUAGGGCGGCUUCUUCUUCAACAUUAUUAUCAGCACCAACAGCAGCUAAGUUUUCUCACUUUACAGAAACUAGGGUUACUUCAAUCUUCUUCUCUACUACUACUGCUAGCAAUAACGCUAAUACUUGUGAUUCUUCAUCAUUUGUGGUUUCUUAUUUGAUUAAUUCAUGUGGAUUGUCUGAAUCUGAAGCAAUUUCUACCUCAAAAAAACUCAAUUUCAAAACCACGACCAAACCAGAUUCAGUCUUAACCCUACUUAAGACUUACGGGUUUACUGAAUCCCACAUUUCUAAGUUAAUCACUAAGCAUCCAGCCAUCCUCUCAUCUGAUCCUCAUAAAACCCUAAAACCAAAAUUGGAUUUUUUCAAAUCCAAAGGGCUCUAUGGAACUGACCUGGCUGAUUUCGUCUCAAUUGGCCCGAGGAUCCUGAUGAACAGUUUCAUUAAAGUAAUAAUCCCUUCUUUCGAUAUCUUUAAGAGCAUUUUAGACUCUGAUGAAAACGUCAUUCAAAUGAUUAAGCAAAAUUCUUGGAUUCUCAGUACAUGCCGAGUUGAGAAUGUGAUGGUCAAUAUAGAGCUUUUGAGAAAUCAAGGCGUCCCUGAAACUAAAAUAUCUAAUUAUCUGAUCUGGCAUUCUAGAGUUUUUACUCAAGAUGCCGAUAAAUUUAGAAAGAUUGUAGAAAAGACUAAAGAAAUGGGUUUUAAUCCCUUAAAAACUACUUUUCUUGUGGCUAUACGUGGACAGACAUCAAUGACCGAAGCCAAUUGGGAAAAGAAAAAGGAUGUUUACAAGAGAUUGGGUUGGUCUGAGGAUCAAAUUCAAUUAGCAUUUAGGAAGAAUCCUUGUUGUAUGACGGCCUCUGGAAAGAAGAUUAUGGCGGUUAUCAAUUUCCUUGUGAACGAAAUGGGUUAUGAUUCAUCAAGUGUUGCUGAAUGCCCAUUAAUUCUUGAUCGUAGCUUGAAGAGGAGGAUUAUUCCCAGGUGUUCUGUUAUCAGGAUUCUAGUCUCCAAAGGUCUGAUUAAGGAAUCGAUUCCAUUAGGGUCAGUUUCAACAAUGCUAGACGAGGCAUUUCUGGAGAAGUUUGUAUCAAAGUAUGAGCACCAAGUUCCCCGACUGAUGAAGGUAUUCCAAGGUCAGUUGAAUUACCAUCAGCUACUUCAGAGCUGAAAUUUGUUUACGAGAUGAAUGUGCAGUACCGGGUUCAUGAAUUUCGGUUGGGAAACUAAAGGGUGUCAAAUUCGGGCUGGGUAUUCCUCAGUAGAGAUAAAGGAAGCAUAUAGUGAUUCUGUGUAUUGUGUGGGAACAUGAUAGGAUAGGAAAUGGGAUAAACGAAAGCUUCACAAAGAUUCGAUGUAUGCUCAGUUAUGAUUGUUAUUUCAUUGUCAGUGUACGGUCUGGCAAUCACUAAAUGGCCUUCGCUCAAUAAGCUUUCGUACUGCGACUAAGCUAUUUGCAAUCAGCCAGAGGUCCACCUCCUGCAGCAUCAACAUGUUUGUCACUGCUGCUCGGAGAACUGCGCGUCUUCGUGGACAGGCUGUUGCUAGAGUUGCCAAGGCAGUCAAAGCACUAGUCUGGUCAUCAUAUUGUUUGCUUUACUGGUGUAGUUUCUUUGAGUAUCUUGAGUAAUUUUUCUUUUGUUAACUUGAAUUAGCUUUGUUUUAAUAGUAUUUAAGUUGGGUUUUAUGUGUUUCCUCUGUUCAUGAAUGCGUUUGUGGAAGUGCCUAGCUGGUGCUUGUGAAUCUGAUUGACUAGUGUUUGCCAAUGUUUACAGUUUAAUUUAAAAUUGAUCUGGUGUUGAAUAAUUUAGAUAAUUUAGGUAACAGUUUAAUUUAAUCUAUUUCAUGGUUUUUGUGUACUUGGUAUUGUAAUAUAAAACAUAAAUCGAGUCAGGUAAGUUAUCAAUGUCUCAGACAUGUGGAAUGCAUAUGCCGUUUCGGGGGGAGGUUGUGUUGUUAUGAUUAAAGGAAGCUUAGGUAAUCUGCUUGUAAGUUAUUGUAUACUAAUGAUUUGUUUAGUGAGGCACUUGUUGUCUGGUUAUUUAACUGUACUUUCUUUAUGCAGUUCGGUCGAUACCUAUUUUACUUGUGAAAGAUUGGUACUGUUCAGUUGGAGUACACUGAUGCGAAAGAGAGCCUCCUGCAAGCUUCUCGUAAAGCUCCAGUUGGCCCUUGUUCAAUGCAACAAAUGGGCCAUCAUAGUUAGAUUGCUAUUGGGGGAAAUUCCACAGAGAACUGUCUUCAUGCAGGAAGGCAUGAAAACAGUUUUGAGGCCAUAAUUUGAGCUUGCAAAAGUGACUUGGAGUUGUUUAGGAGUAUUGCGGAUAAGUUUGGGAGUACUUUCAGCUCAGACAGGACUCAUUGUGAGGUUGCAGCAUAAUGUCAUCAGGACAGGGCUUUGCAAUAUACGCAUCUCUUUCUUAUUCUCACAUUUCACUGUUGAUGUUGCUCACAAACUGAGGUUGGACUCAGCGAACCCUGUGGCGGAUGUUGAGAACAAGGUAAUCUGAGAUGGUGCCAUUGAUGCAACUCUGGACAGUGCAAAUGGCUGUGUGGUACCGAAGGAGAUUGGGGGAUGUUUACUCCACAAACGAACCUCAAGCUGCUUUAAAUUCGAGGAAUGCCUUCUGCCUCAACAUAUGAUGAGGCUGUGCGCUCACUGCGAUUCCCUCCAAAAUCACAUAAAAAGGGAAACCUGAAGGAGGCAGACAGGAGCAAUUGUUGCUUCAAAAAAAAAACAAAACAGGAGCAGUUGCAGGGGCUUGCAAUACAUAUUUGCCGCCAAGAGUGGCGAUGAUGAGGUCUAAUUCUCACCUGCCUGCCUGCCUGCUUUUGUCAACUUGUUAACGAGACAGUACCUUAUCUGUAAAAACUGGUCUUGGUGGGUUUUAAAUGAAAAUAAAGACCAUAUAAUCAUUUUUCAAUUUA